ACACAAGCCAUGCAUGCCCGCGCACCCGGGAGGCGGCGGACGGCUCAGGACAACGGUUGCACCCCCCGCGGCGGUCCCUGCUAGCCGGACACCGCUGGCAACCCGGCGCCAAGACGUGCGCGCAAGGGCGGGCGCCCGCGGGCGAGCAGCGUGACGCAGCGACGGCCCGCCCGGGCUUCCGGGGCAUCACCCGGUCGGCGCGGUCGCGGCGCGCCGAGGGCCCGACGCCU
rnacentral:rRNA from 1 species